rnacentral:lncRNA from 1 species
UUCAAUCGAUUGAACCGAUUUAAAAAAAAAUCAAUAACAGUUAACAUAAUCUAGAAUAGCAUACUUCACGGCCAUGAGUUUACAUCAACAAUCAAGAGCACACACUUGAACAAUCAAUAACACAAAUUCAACAAUCAAUAGUACACAAAUUCAACCAAGAGUACAUAAAUUCAAAAAUCAACAGCAAAUCACAAAUAUUUACUUAGCUUCUACAGUUGACUCAAGUUCAACAGCACGCCGUGGCACUGGCAGGCAACCAUGUCCGACACAACCGAGGGCUGGAGGCGCGAGUGGCACUCUUGGUCCCGGAGUCUGGUCCACGAACUGUGAAAGGCUCAAGGCUGGAAGCGCGACACAGAGACUCGGAGAGGACUGAGGGCUGUGGAAUAAGCACGACCAAAUUGCCGACUGCCCGAUGAUGCGUGGAGAACCAAUAGAGAGCGACGGCCGACGCCGAUGAUUGCGUGGAAAGAGAGAGAGACUAAAGAUCGGUGAAGAUCGACGAUGGUGAAUCAGUCCAGUCAAGAGGAGAGUGGAGGCACAUCACAUGCGCGAGAAUCUCGCGACGAGAUGCGUGCGUGGCUCUACUACUCAGAAAGAGACCGGAGGCUGGACGGUGGAUGGUGGAACCGCCGCUGGAACUUGGAUGGAACUCAGAGGCGAGGCACGUUGAGAGGCGAGGGCGUUAGGUUUAGGGGUGGGUGAGCACAGAGAUAGAGAUGCACGGAGAGAGAGAAAUUUGUUUUAAAUUUAGGCAAAGGAAGGGAAGGGAAAUAGGGAAUUAGGAAAUUACUCAAACGACGUAGUAUAAGUGAUUUCGGUUCGGUUCGGUCUAAUCGAAAUUUUUACGUCUAAAACCGAACCGAACCGAAAU